AUUCCAGCUCCAAUAGCGUAUAUUUAAGUUGUUGCAGUUAAAAAGCUCGUAGUUGGAUUUCGGAUGGGUUUGACCGGUCCGCCUUUGGUGUGCACUGGUCGCGCCUAUCUUGCUGUCGGGGACGCGCUCCUGGCCUUAAUUGGCUGGGACGCGGAGUCGGCGAUGUUACUUUGAAAAAAUUAGAGUGUUCAAAGCAGGCCUAAGCUCUGAAUACAUUAGCAUGGAAUAACGCUAUAGGACUCUGGUCUUAUUGCGUUGGUCUUCGAGACCGGAGUAAUGAUUAAUAGGGACAGUUGGGGGCAUUAGUAUUUAAGUGUCAGAGGUGAAAUUCUUGGAUUUGUUAAAGACUAACUACUGCGAAAGCAUUUGCCAAGGAUGUUUUCAUCG
rnacentral:rRNA from 1 species